rnacentral:rRNA from 1 species
GUGUAGAUAUCGGGAAGAACACCAAUGGCGAAGGCAGGUCUCUGGGCCGUUACUGACGCUGAGGAGCGAAAGCGUGGGGAGCGAACAGGAUUAGAUACCCUGGUAGUCCACGCCGUAAACGGUGGAUGCUGGAUGUGGGGCCCUUUCCACGGGUUCCGUGUCGGAGCUAACGCGUUAAGCAUCCCGCCUGGGGAGUACGGCCGCAAGGCUAAAACUCAAAGAAAUUGACGGGGGCCCGCACAAGCGGCGGAGCAUGCGGAUUAAUUCGAUGCAACGCGAAGAACCUUACCUGGGCUUGACAUGUUCCCGACGACCUCAGAGAUGGGGUUUCCCUUCGGGGCGGGUUCACAGGUGGUGCAUGGUCGUCGUCAGCUCGUGUCGUGAGAUGUUGGGUUAAGUCCCGCAACGAGCGCAACCCUCGCCCCGUGUUGCCAGCGCGUCAUGGCGGGAACUCACGGGGGACCGCCGGGGUUAACCCGGAGGAAGGCGGGGAUGACGUCAGAUCAUCAUGCCCCUUACGUCCAGGGCUUCACGCAUGCUACAAUGGCCGGUACAACGGGAUGCGACAUGGCGACAUGGAGCGGAUCCCUGAAAACCGGUCUCAGUUCGGAUCGCAGUCUGCAACUCGACUGCGUGAAGGCGGAGUCGCUAGUAAUCGCGAAUCAGCAACGUCGCGGUGAAUGCGUUCCCGGGCCUUGUACACACCGCCCGUCAAGUCAUGAAAGUGGGCAGCACCCGAAGCCGGUGGCCUAACCCUUGUGGGGGGAGCCGUCUAAGGUGAGGCUCGUGAUUGGGACUAAGUCGUAACAAGGUAGCCGUACCGGAAGGUGCGGCUGGAUCACCUCCUUUCUACGGAG